CCCUCACUUCACAAUCACAUCUUAUUCAUGUCAUUACCUUUCAGUGGCUUAUAUGUUUCGUGAACAAGUGUUUUAAAGGAUGAAGCACAGGAAAAGUAAUAUUUCAUCAGAAAUCUCUGACGAGCACUUUGAGAACUCACAAAGAAUUGCAAACACUUCCACUGAACCAGACAUUGAUGCAUUAGUUUCACAAAAACAAGGAAAAAUAUCACACUAGUUUUAUGUUUAUGUUAUUCUCUCUUUUUUAUGUUUUAAUAAAAAAAUACAUUAGAAAGUAAGUUGUCUUACUUACCCACAGUAACGAUAUUAUGUAUUUUAUACGUGGCCCAAGACAAUUCCUCUUCAUUCAGUCCAACUCAGGCAAACCAAAAGGUUGGACAUCCAUGCCAUAGACCUAAAUUCAGCUGACCAACCAAGUCCUGCAACUGAGUAAACUUGGGCUAAUGAGUGAAUCAGGGCAGCUGGUCUCACACACUUGCUUUAAAGGAAAUAUUGAAAGAAGAAAAAUAUGUAUCUUCCAUAAAUAUUUAAGGUAAAGUGUGCUUGUGACAAUUCCUGUACCUCAAGCCUUAGUUUCACAAGUUCCCUAACUUGUCAACUGACACAGAUGCCAGGAGCCGUCCCACCCUCCUUACUCCCAUCCUACAUUGCUCUUUCCCUUCUAGCACAUAUGCACAUGUGGCUUCACAACAAGCCAGGCUAGGGAACUGGCACAGAUGAUAAAUGGUAGCAUAACAGCAUCUUCCAGUGGCAGUGCUAGCUGAGAGGAUCUGUGCAACCACAGCCUACUGCCUCAGCCCAGAAAUAUAGGAAUUAAACAUAUGAUUCCUUCUUUUAUUCAAUUUAGCACAAGGGCUACUCAUGCCUGGCUUCAAGCUACCCUUCUGCACCAGCACUGUCUGGUCAUGGAGACGAUUUUUUUUUUUCCAAGGAUGUGGGCUAAUUUUUAGUUGGAGCAAUGAUAAAAAAUAAGUAAAUAAAUAAAAAACAUAAGCCUUAGCAAAAUUUUGUUUUUUAAAUCUAGAAGGGACUUGGAAAAAAAAAAAAAAAAAAAAAAGUGAUCCACAGGAAAUAAGAAGGCUCAAGGGACAAGAGCAAGAAGAUCCAAAUUAAACACAAUGAAAUAAAACAAGGCCCAGAAAUGAAGCUGUAAACAGCAAAGGCUCUCAGAAGAGUUCCUCAAAGGAAGUACCCAGGUUUCACAGUUUCAGACAUUAAAAAGACAGGGCUUCAGCAGGAGCACCAGGCUUAAUUCUAGUCCAUGCUGCCACCAGUGAUUAUAGCAUGUGAUCCCCCUUCCCAUUCAGAUUAAUCAAGACCACCGAGCUACUGCACAGAUAGCACUACAAGUACUUCAUCAGCCACGAGCUGGCAAAAUGAGAUUGUGCAUGGAAACCAAAUAUUAACAACUGAGACUUAAGAAUAAUUCAGAUUUAGAACAACUUCAAAUCAUAUUUUCAAUGCCUUCUCCUCACCCAGUUCAGUUGCACUCCAGAAACCCAGGUCACUCAUACAUUAUCACUCCAAAACAACCCACCUCCCUCCCACACAAGCUUUUAAGAGGACUUUGUCCUUAUACAAGUUACCUCCAAUAAGCCUUUUAGAUUCCAAGAAAUUCUAAAACAUCAGUGAAUGCUGUCACAAAACUUCAAUAGCAUGUUAUGGAUGUGGUUUGGUCAGCAAGUGAGGGGGAAGGACAAGGCAACAGCAUCCAUAUCCAGUAAUCCCUUGGCAAAAGUGCUUCCCUACCCCUAUAUUGUCUGCCAGAUUUGAUCCAUCCAACUUCUGAAAAUAAUUUAAAGCACAAAGCGUAAGGAUAACAAGGGUGCUGGGUGGGCCAGGCAGGAGCUUUUAAGGCUGGGCAAGUCGCUUGGGGCACCAAGGGUGUAACCACAGCUCUGGGUUAAGCUCCAAGUGGUGAGAAGGGAAAUGUGCAGCAAGCAUGCGUCUCUUCUUCCGCUCCUCCAUGACAGGCCAUAAAAGUCACAAGACACGAAUGAGCAAAGGUGUCCAGAGUCCAAAUGCAGCCCUGAGACACCAGGGCCUCUGAAGUCCACAGUCCAGCGACCAACGCAAGACCUGACUCUCAUGUGAGAGGCAUAGCAGCAGUGCGCAAAAGCGCACCGGCGGCCGGGCCCACAUUUCUGUUUCUACCUGUGAGGGGCAGGAGCAUCACGAAAAGGCUGCGAAGGCCCCCGAAGGUAUAAGCUCCUUGCUCCUUCUCCCCGUAGGCACCAGAGCGGACGUCUCCGCACCUGGCUCCGCGCGGCUUCUCCGAACGGCGAUUCCCCACACAUUAAUCCACACCUACGCGCAUCGGGCCGAGCCCCGCGUCACAGAGGAGGGCAGCAGGCCCGUCGUCCCACCGCGGAAUGAAAGCGAGUUCCUUCCCCCGAGAUCCUUCCUACGCCUCCUCCCCGUCGGAUCCUGAAACGGCGGGCCGCUCUCCCGGCCGUCCUCUCCCUACCACACCGGCCCCGGGAAGAGCGCCCCUCCAGCCCGGCCUCAGCCCGGCCUCAGCCCGGCCUGUGUGGGAUCGGGCGCCAGGCCCGCUCAUCUCCAGGCAAACGGCAACGCCACUCUCACAGUGCCCUUACCUGCGGCGGCCGGGCCGGGGCCAACGCUGCCCCCAGCACCGCUCCGGCUGGGGCCCCCCUGUCCUGGGCGACAGCAGGCUGAGAUCUCUGUGCUUCCCCCAGGGCUGCAGGUAUGUCAUCAGCGCCGCAGCUCCCAGGUGAGCCGGGCACACCUACAGGAAGGCAGGCAGGCCGCCUGAUUGGCGUGCGGGGUUGACAGCGGGGCUCGCACCCCCGCUGGUGGGUGCGGGGCUGGGCGCGAGGAGAGUUGUCUUCGUCCUCUUCCUGGUGAGCUCUCACACUGGAGUCAUCUCGGUGUUGGAGCUGGCCGUGCGGUGGCUCGGAGCACGACGAGGAAUGUUUCUGUGCGUAACUCGGGGUGGAAAACGCGCUUAACGCUGUUUUUUUGGUUUUGAUUUUUUUUCAGUCUUGAAGGCGACAGCAGAGCCAGCAUACCUGCCCCCUGUCGUUUGCGGUUCUAGAAAGACGAACUAUGACAUUUACUUUUUUUACCUUCUUCAUUACCCGAGUCUCUCUUCUUGCUGCUUAAGGUUGUUGUUUUUGCAUGUGUGAACCCUUCUGCUGUGUUUCCUCCCCCCUCAACAGAUAGCCAGGAUUUUAAGGGAAAACACCAGGUGCUAGAAGAGUUGUCCUCACAGCAUAGAGCACAGCUCAGCCCCUGCAGUAGAUCUCAGAGAUCCUAACAUUAUGUCCUGGAUUGUCAAAUAGGGGGCUCUUGAAGCUUAAGAAGAAAGUUCUUCCUGCAGACCAGCUGCAUGAGGGAUCUCCAAAGUUGCCCUCCUGGGAUGGAGAGGGACAUUUUUGCCAACAGGCCUAUUGUCCAACACUGUAUAUCAGCAGAGGAUUCUUAAUGCCUCUCACUCCCAUAACUCAAUCAUGCAAAAAUGAAACCUUUCCCAUAUGGUGAGUGAUCAAAGCAGAGCGCUCAGAUGUGACCUUCCAUUGUACAACAUGCUACCAUCCAUAACAGUGCUGUUUAAGUGUAAUUUGUCUGGAGCCAUGGUGCUGUUGUUGGAAGGGCAGACUGAUGAGGGAUUGUUUUGUAUGAGUAAAAACACAGUUCUCGUGAAGCAAACUUUUGUCCUUAACUCAUAAAAAGGGCCUUUGAAUGAUUCAUACAGUGAUAUUUUUAUUUUUCUUUGCAUUUAAUUAAUAGUAGCACAAGAAUAAUACCGCAAGUAAAAUAUAAAAGCAGAAUGACCUUAUAAAAGAGUGCUUUUUCUACCUUAGAAAAAAAACUUGGUACAUUACAUUGAAGGCUUAUGUUGUAAACUGACUGAGGCAGAAACCACAUCUUUGUCCUGUGCUCGUGAUGCAUUUCUCUCAGUGAGAAUCUCUUCUGAAAUUAUCACAUUGCAUAGGAUGGAUGAAUUACAGUCCCCAAACCAUCACAGGGAAAAAGAAAUGAAGAUGAAAUGUUUAAAAUGUUAGCUUGUCACAACUCUAAGUUGGUGGAUAGGAGGUCCAGAUAUUUGAUUUCCACCAAGGGACAGAAGGUGAAAGCAACCAACUGUGUAAGGUCCUGGAUCUUGAGUGAUUAGAAGCUACAGCUCACAAGGACUAAUAAAGGGCAAAUAAUGAUUAUAACAGUUCUAGAAUAUGUAAUAUUAUGCUUCCUCAGAGCUCCACAAGGGUAAAAUUGCCUUUCUGUUUUGGGCAUCUGCUCCAGAUGCCCAAGCUAGACACCAGCCCAGCACCGAGAUACUUUCUUUUAACUCUGCAAAGAUCCUAAUGUGGCUGAUGCCCCACUUUUGCUACCCUACUGUCCCCAUACACCCUGCUGUUUUUUAUAACUUCAUUUCACCAUGUGAGUAUACCUCCUCCUCCCUCGUUAGUGAUUCUUAGAAAACGAAGAUAGGGCAUUGUUACUCCAUGCACUGGAGCAAUAUCACAUUGUUGUCUGUAGUGUCUGUGCCUUAAGUUCUCUGCAGGAUUUCCCAGACCUGCUUGGAUUAUUCUUUCCUUUAUCCUAUCUCUAAUAGAAGAGUGAAGGAUGCCCUGCAGGAGUCGCUGUAAACAUUGCUCUGUUCAGCUGCUAAUUUCUUGCUGAAGCGACUCCAACUCUUCCCACACAGAGAUAAGGCUUUUCUCCAGCUUGAACCAACUGAUGCUGAGUCAGGUCAUAAUGCCCAUCAAAACCCUUGCCACAAGCACAGUUUCUGAAUGAUUUCUGUCCCAUUUGGGCUCUCUGUUGGUGAAUGUAAAGGUAAAAACCUGUUCAUUUUCGUAUGAAUUCUUAGAUGAUGGCUCUCCAUAUUUUCACUGGUGGAAAACCUCAUCACCAGCUGUAAUAGAGAAAUAAAUCAUUAGAUUUGAUUCCUCCCCUAAAGAGAUAAACACCACAUGAAGAAUAUGAGAGUGAAAGUCAUGAACUGGUUCUUCAGAUGAGGAGUUUAGGGAUCAAAGACAGAAGUAGAAAUGGAUUCUCUUCUUUCAUCUGCCACCAUUUACAAUCAACAUUAUAUCCUUGAGCUUCCCAGCAGUGUGGAUCUCAGAGCGCUAGUGAGAUGCAUCAAAUCACCCAGAUCAUUAUGACCCGGGCUGUAGCAAUUGGGCAGCUCAAUAUGAUGAGAUGUUGAACAUGAUAGAAAGGUGCAGGAAGGGAAGGAGAUUGCUUACCCAAAUCAGAAGAUUCCAGGUUUGCAGGGAAAAACUCUACCAGGAAUGGUGGCAGUCAGCCCUUAAAUGGGGUCUAGGACAGGUGGAGCCAGACUCCACCCCUUUCGGUCACGCAGGUGAAUUGCCUUCAGCUAUGCUCCUGGGGCUGACCUCCAGGUGAUCAAUCAGCGGUUCAGGCCAUGACUCAACAGUUCCUAUACGCAUGCCAAUAAGCACUACCUAGCACAGGUAUGGUAAUGUUAUGGUAGUUUGCAUUUCCAUGCAUAGGAUGGAGAGAGGAACAUCUAUUAUUGGCAAGGGACUGCCAGCAAGCUGCCUAGGGAGGAUAUUGCCCUAAUCAAAUGUACCACUAGCAGUAGCUGGUUGGCUGGCCAAGUUUAUUGGAGUUACUGAUUGUGGGGCCAUUUGAUGGUGAGAAGCCAGACUGUACUCAGCACCCCAUUAGAUGCUUGACAUUACUUACUGAUGUAGCAGCUCAAAAAAACCUCCCUUACACCUCUCUGUCUCUUUUGGUAUUGGAAUUGAAAUACAGUAAUGGACUUAAUAUAGUUGGAUGUAUCAAGAAGGUCUGCAUGCCUCAGUACACCCUAUAUGUUAAGAAUAUUCAGCUCUAAAGUGUGGCCCAAAAGAACCAUUUGAUCUGUUUGUUUGCUUUUUUCCAGUACUUGAGGUUUCCUAUGUGACCAUAAUCUCAGAUAGCAGAGAGAUGACUGUGUAAUCUUGCUAUGAAAUUUCAGGGGAUAAGAGUGCCCCAGAGAACCCAGACAGGACCAGUGCUUCUCUGCAGGAUACUGAAGGUCACUCGGUGGGAGAUAAUAAGAGAAAAUUAGAACAGAGCAGUGCUCCUGAGCACCUGUAACACAUUGAUGAUAUUGUUGUGUGGGGUGGUACAGCAGAAGUUUUCAUGAAAGGAGAGUGAAUAAUCAAAAUUCUUCUGCAAGCUAGUUUUGCUAUUAAGCAAAGCAAAGUGAAAGGACCUGCCCCGGAAAUUCAGUUCCUAGGUAUAAAGUGGAAAAUGGGCAUUGUAACAUCCCAGCAGAUGUGAUUGACAAAAUCACUGCUAUAUCUCCACCCACUAGAAAGAGAGAGAUAAUCUUUUCUGGGUGUAGUGGGCUUUUGGAGAAUGCAUGUUCCAAACUAUAGCCUCAUUGUAAGCCCCCUUCAUCAGGUGACAUGGAAGAAUAAUUUUUCAUGGGGUCCUGAGCAGCAGCAGGAUUUUGAGCAAAUUAAACAAGAGAUAGCCCAUGCCAUGGCCCUGGAUCCAGUACAGACAGGACAGGUUGUAGGGAACAUCCUCUACCUGCUGCUGGAGAGAAAGGUCCCACUUGGAGUUUGUAGCAACGAGCCUCAGGAGAGACCUGAGGCUGACCACCAGGAUUUUGGAGU